rnacentral:rRNA from 1 species
UACGUAGGGUGCAAGCGUUGUCCGGAAUUAUUGGGCGUAAAGGGCUCGUAGGCGGUCUGUCACGUCGGGAGUGAAAACUCAGGGCUUAACCCUGAGCCUGCUUCCGAUACGGGCAGACUAGAGGUAUGCAGGGGAGAACGGAAUUCCUGGUGUAGCGGUGAAAUGCGCAGAUAUCAGGAGGAACACCGGUGGCGAAGGCGGUUCUCUGGGACGGUACUGACGCUGAGACGCGAAAGCGUGGGGAGCGAACAGG